rnacentral:lncRNA from 10 species
GGGGGAAGCCCUCCCUCCCUGCGUCAUCAGAUGACGCAGUGGGGGUGCUGUCCUCAGUCCUUCGGGGUCUGCGUCAGAGGUGAGAAGAAAUUCUCCCUGGGCCUCUGCCUGGGGCCCACAGUGAGUAGGCGAGGGAAUGCGUCUGGGAAACACUGGCCCAGUAAGUGGUCAAGACUUCAUGAACCGCAGCUAUCACUGCCUCAGAGCACCCUACGGAGAAGCAGUGGGUGAGAAAGAGUCCAGUGCACCCUAUGGAGAAGCACCUUCUGAAGGGGAUGUGCUAUCACCCCAUUUUACAGAUGAGGAAACAGCUCCCACCAUUCUUCUGUGAAGACACCAGCUUUGGGAUCUUCCCUUAGGAAUGGCUCCCUGUGCCAUGGACCCACUCCCACCUGAGCUGUGACCUUGGUCAGCACCCCCAGCCCUGCUGCCCCUGGCUGGGGCCAGCCUGGACUUGAGUGGGGAUGUCUGGGGCUCCCAGGUGGUUUUGUCCCUGCAGGUGGCCUCUGGCCAGCCCUCUGGCCCUUUCACUUGCAGGCAAAGGUUUUUGCUGUUUGCUUCUUGUUCCUCUGGUGAAGGACCCUGCUUUUCCUUCCAAGUUUUCUAUUUCUUCUGCUUGCGGCUCAGCAGAAAAGAGAAUAAAACUUCAGAGUAACAUAAAAGCUUGCUGGUUUGGUGGUGUGCUGCAGGUGUCCUGCACAGGUGUGUGACCUCACCUUGACAGCUGGAAAUGAGCCCCAGGGGACCGUUUACACCUGGGAAUCGGCACACGCUCCAAAUCAGGGCCGUUUCACUGGAGACCUGGCCAUGGAACCUUCACCAGUGCAUACUGCGGGGCCCUGUAGAGGUUCCUCUCCAGUUAGAGGGGACAGUCCUGCCCAGGAGCCCUUGGCUGCUAGCUUCUCCUGGCUCUCCUGCCUCUGCCCAGAGCUCAGGCUGCCACACCCCCCUACAGUUAGUGUGUAGCUGGUUACACAGUCUGUACUGCUCUCAGUCGGCUUCUUGAGAUUAUUCAACUCCUGGCCAACACCAGAACUUAUUUUUUAAAUAAAUACUUGCAAACUGAAACCAAGCAAGGUCCCUACACGGAGCCACGUAGUGUGAUUUCUCUACACAGUGAACAGGAGGCAGAUGCCGGUCAGCAUCACCACUUACAAAAUCCG